AUCUCUGUCAAACCUUUCUUUAGCAUUGAAGAAGAGCAUAAAGUUUGCUAGAUCGCUAGAGGCAAAGAGGCAAGGAAAUGAAUUCAAUGCAGACAGAUACUCAAAAAGAGCUGCAGAGAUGGGAUUCGAACUAUCUCAACAACAGAGAUCACUCUUUCUUCAUACUGAAAAUGCCCUUGUUCGUGAAUCUGCCCAGCUCCAUUCAGCUGUCGUCAAGUUAAAGGACUUGAGAGACAACUGCAAGAAAGAUCUGAAGAUCUGAUCAUCAAUUCUUCGCCGGGGAGACGAGUCCUGCAUGCACGGUUGUGCUCUGGUAAACUUGUUACCCUGGGAUGUAGUAGGAUAAGCUGGAUCUUUUUGAAUCAAGAUGUGUACGGUAUUUGGUUGUCAACUAGCAAGUUAGGGGGUUCUCAAGUAGGAAAUUCGGCCGUAGAGAUUACUCCUAACUUAAAACAUAGGCCAGCAUCUUAGCCUCUGAAGAUCGUCUGAGGAAAUGCUUUUGUAAAAAUCUUAGAGGGAGUUGUGAACUGUAGGUUUGUGACAGGAGUCCUUUCAGUCGCUCAGUCAGCACGUGGAUGUGAGAUAGCACCAUUUUGUUUCCUGCUCUCCAAAGAGCCAAACGGGAAGUGCAAAUAAUGUCAUUUGACUAGUUUUUCCAUGCUUGCUGCUGAUGUUUCCACCGUUU